UACGAAGGGGGCUAGCGUUGCUCGGAAUUACUGGGCGUAAAGCGCACGUAGGCGGAUUGUUAAGUCGGGGGUGAAAUCCUGGAGCUCAACUCCAGAACUGCCUUCGAUACUGGCGAUCUCGAGUUCGGGAGAGGUGAGUGGAACUGCGAGUGUAGAGGUGAAAUUCGUAGAUAUUCGCAAGAACACCAGUGGCGAAGGCGGCUCACUGGCCCGAUACUGACGCUGAGGAGCGAAAGCCAGGGGAGCAAACGGG
rnacentral:rRNA from 1 species